rnacentral:rRNA from 1 species
AUAACGAUACGGAACUCAUACGAGGCUCCGUAAUCGGAAUGAGUACACUUUAAAUCCUUUAACGAGGAUCUAUUGGAGGGCAAGUCUGGUGCCAGCAGCCGCGGUAAUUCCAGCUCCAAUAGCGUAUAUUAAAGUUGUUGCGGUUAAGAAGCUCGUAGUUGGAUCUCGGUUUCACUCAGGUGGUACACCUUGCGGUGUUCACUAUCUGGGUGGACGUUUCUGUUGGUUCGCUCUUGGUGCUCUUCAUCGGGUGCCAUUUGGUGGCCAGCACGUUUACUUUGAAAAAAUUGGAGUGCUCAAAGCAGGCGUUACAGCCUGAACAUUAGUGCAUGGAAUAAUGGAAUAGGAUCUCGAUUCUAUUUCGUUGGCUUUCGGAGUCGAGGUAAUGAUUAAUAGGGACAGACGGGGGCAUUCGUACUGCGACGUUAGAGGUGAAAUUCUUGGAUCGUCGCAAGACGAACUACUGCGAAAGCAUUUGCCAAGAAUGUUUUCAUUAAUCAAGAACGAAAGUUAGAGGUUCGAAGGCGAUCAGAUACCGCCCUAGUUCUAACCAUAAACGAUGCCAACCGGCGAUCCGUCGUCGUUAAUUGAAUGACUCGACGGGCAGCCUCCGGGAAACCAGAGUGUUUGGGUUCCGGGGGAAGUAUGGUUGCAAAGCUGAAACUUAAAGGAAUUGACGGAAGGGCACCACCAGGAGUGGAGCCUGCGGCUUAAUUUGACCAACACGGGAAAUCUCACCAGGCCCGGACACCGGAAGGAUUGACAGAUUGAGAGCUCUUUCUUGAUUCGGUGGGUGGUGGUGCAUGGCCGUUCUUAGUUGGUGGAGCGAUUUGUCUGGUUAAUUCCGAUAACGAACGAGACUCUGGCCUACUAACUAGAAGGUCUAUCCUUUAUGGGUAGGCCUCUGCUUCUUAGAGGGACGGGCGGCGUUUAGCCGCACGAGAAUGAGCAAUAACAGGUCUGUGAUGCCCUUAGAUGUUCUGGGCUGCACGCGCGCUACACUGAAGGAAUCAGCAUGUUCUCCCCUCCCUGAAAAGGGCGGGUAACCCGUUGAAACUCCUUCGUGAUGGGGAUUGGAGAUUGUAAUUAUUCUCCAUGAACGAGGAAUUCCCAGUAGGCGCGAGUCAUCAGCUUGCGUCGAUUACGUCCCUGCCCUUUGUACACACCGCCCGUCGCUACUACCGAUCGAGUGAUUUAGUGAGGACUUCGGACUGGUCUUCAAGUUGGCUUCGGGCGGCUCGAAGUUCCGGAAAGAUGCCCAAACUUGAUCACUUAGA